rnacentral:sRNA from 1 species
GUCGGAGGACCAUUUCGUUAUGAACACAGCUUUGAUUUCUACUAUGAGUUCAUCCCAGGAACAAGUGUCCAGCUUGGAAGUUCUGCUGGCUUUUGCACACGAAGUAGGACAUAAUUUUGGGAGUGAUCAUGACCCUAAUAAAUACCCAUGCAGUCAGUCAGAAGCAAAUGGAGGAAAUUACAUAAUGUGGGCUUACAGU